GUCAUAUAACCCCUUCUUCCCCUUCGAGACUGAUCCCUUGAGUUAUGUUGAAAGACGUAUAGCCCCUCCUUGAACAUACUGGUAGAUGAGGAUUCAGAGAAUUUUCUCAUUUUGGUUGAAGAUUUGCUAGAAAAAAGCAUCAAAUACCUAAGAUAUCUGGGAAUUUUUGGCGUAACUAAGCUGCGUUAUUUCCCGACCCAGCUACUAAACCUAACUUCUCUGGAGGAGUUAGUGAUAGAAUGGUGCAAGAACCUAACGUAUUUUCUUCAAGACACGGAAGCAGCAGUAUUCAACCGCUUAGAGUCUCUUAAAGAGCUUCGCAUUACUAGUUGCUGGGAGUUGGGAUGUUUGCCAAAGGGGUUGCUACAACCAACCCUUGAAACAUUAGUGCUGGAAUAUUGUUCUCUUUUAAGAAUGACUGACCCAGAUGAAUUGCGCAGCCUCAAAUCACUUCAGAAUCUGAAUAUCCAAAACUGUCCAGGAUAGACAAGUUGGUGAGGGGAGGGGCUGUUCUGCCUUGGCAGCCUGCGAUAUUUGGGGAUAGGAUUAUUCUUAACAGAGCAUGAACCUUUCCUCUGGCCCUCCACAAGUGCCGAUGCCUCCACGAGUGGUGAUGAUGCAAACGUAGAGUUUGUCGAGCAGUUCCCCUUCAUCUCCCUGGAGGGUCUAUAUUUACUUGGUUUUGGAAACAAGCAUCUGCCUGAUCAACUUCAGCACCUCACCGCCUUGAAAAAGUUGCAAAUUUCUGAUUUCAACCACUUGGAAGCUCUCCCUGAGUGGUUGGGUAACCUUUCAUCUCUUGAAUCGCUGAAGCUUCAGACUUGCCCUAAACUGACGAGUCUGCCCUCAGUGGAAGCAAUUCAACGCCUCACCAAUUUACAAAUAUUAGAUGUGUUAGAAUGUCCCCUUUUAAAGAAACGAUGCGAAAGUGGCGAGGAGAGGCACAAGAUUGGUCAUAUUCGAUAUAAGAAGCUUACAGAUUUAUAGACACCAAUGGGCUGGAGUGAACCCUCUGCGAUUAUAUUUCGUGAAUCAUGAAGAUAAAGCAUGACUAGUCCCUUUUCAAUCAUGUUCUGAUAUCACGCAUCAAGACAUUUUGAUGUGGUGAUGUCUGCCUCAGGUAACAAUGAAUGAAGACUGAUCGUGGGUGGUGACAGCAUUUGAAAUAACUCUGCAGAAGAAAGAGAUUCUUUGAGGCACUUUGCACUUAGCAAAAUCAGAGGAACUCCUGGCAAGAAAAAUUCUCAGAGGUCUUAUUGUUAAAUAGGUUUGUCAACACUUCUCUACACAGUUUCCAGAAAAUUGCCAAGUGUUCAGGGCCUUAAGGCCUAUUGCCCAGAGUUCACACCAAUAAGGCUGGGAUGUGAGCGGUUUCCGAUUGCAAUCAAACUUUUUAAAGGCAGCUCAAAGUGAAGCAAUUGCUUAUGGACGUCAAUGCCUAAUCUCCAUUAGCGACACAAGAGAAUAAUCCAAAGUAGCCGAGUUGCUGUCCCUACCUGUCAUGGACGUUGUAUAUGAGUAAGUCAAUAGUUUUCUGUUCGAUGAACCAGUCAUGUUUUGAUACCACCGCCUAUGGUUGAUGAAGAUGGAAAGUUUCAUAGGUGUCAUUUUUGUGGAAAUGAACUGGAAUCAGCAGACCGAAUCUCUUUUGUUGCGCUUUGAUGGAAACUUUAAAAGACUGGUCAACCUGCUUCAAAUGCUGGGGAACACAGCUGGACUUCUCCAAUAUCUCAAAGGGGGGAUCUCUUUGAAUGGGGAAAAGACUCUAUCCCUUUUAUUGUUUCGUGGUCUUUACGAACUCUCACUAAUAGCGCAUUUUGCAAGAGGAAAAUCCAACCUGGAAUGAAGUCAAUGAACUCGUGAAAAUCAGACUUUCUUUUCUGGGUUGAAGAUGAAGUCCGUGCAAGUCAUUACAAUACAAUUUGCAAAGUGCUCUGGAAUGUUAUGGUGCUAUAUUUACUUGGUUGCUUUCUUAGGCUUCUUGUUGAUGCUGCAGCUUUUGGGAAGAAAUAUGACUCUUUUUCGUUUACUGGCUUGCUUGUUGCAUAUGUCAUUUAGUUUUUGCUUUUGAAUAGCUAUAUGUUAUAUGUGAUAAGCUACUCAGAUGAACCUCUUCUGCAACUUUGCUUCUCUCCUAUCCCUUUUCAACUGUAUGUGUCUACUUUUUUUAGUUAAAAAAAUAGUACAUUUCUUUUUUGAUUAAAAA